rnacentral:lncRNA from 10 species
GGAGGCUGUACUGAGGUUUUAAUAAUUAUUGAGCAGUGACCGUGUCUCAGGAAAGAGAUGGGGAGGGAGGGAGGCUGUACUGAGGUUUUAAUAAUUAUUGAGCAGUGACCGUGUCUCAGGCACCGUUUUAAGAGUUUAUCACAUACUUUCCUCAUUGCAAUCCUUGCAACCGCCCCCGAGAUAGGUAUUAUUAUUCCCGACUUCCAGGUGAGAGACCUGAAGCAGACAGAGGUGAGGGAAUGAGCCCAGGCCGGGAGGACGCAGGGAGGCAGAAUCCAGCGUUCUAAACCUCUGCACAGUCCUGUAAGUUACUUUUUAAAAUUCCGUCGAGAGGAAACUAGUAAGACCAAGAGAAGCUAACUCAUUAAAGUCUGUAAUCUGCUGAGGCUCAAACAACUGAGGCACUGAGGCUGGUACCCCAGGCCACCCCCACCAACAACAUAACCAGAGGGGAAGGAAGUCAGGCCCCUUCUCACUCUGAGCAGCUGGUGCCUGGGAUUUUAGGCUGUCACGACGAUUCCACCCGGCCAGGGCAGGCCCGAACCAGCCGGAGGCCACAGGAGAACCAAUGAGCCUGGCUGGACUCCUGCAAACCUUGAGGGACGCCGAGAUUCACAUUCACUGAAUUUUCAUGCCACGUGACACUCUUCUUCUUUUGUUCCCUCCCGCCCUGCCCCACGGAGCCAUUUAC